rnacentral:rRNA from 1 species
CAGUAGCCGCGGUAAUACAGAGGGUGCGAGCGUUAAUCGGAUUUACUGGGCGUAAAGCGUGCGUAGGCGGCUUUUUAAGUCGGACGUGAAAUCCCCGAGCUUAACUUGGGAAUUGCAUUCGAUACUGGGAAGCUAGAGUAUGGGAGAGGAUGGUAGAAUUCCAGGUGUAGCGGUGAAAUGCGUAGAGAUCUGGAGGAAUACCGAUGGCGAAGGCAGCCAUCUGGCCUAAUACUGACGCUGAGGUACGAAAGCAUGGGGAGCAAACAGGAUUAGAUACCCGCGUAGUCCCUGUCUCUUAUAC